rnacentral:rRNA from 1 species
UACGAAGGGUGCUAGCGUUGUUCGGAAUUACUGGGCGUAAAGCGCGCGUAGGCGGCCUCGCAAGUUGGAAGUGAAAUCCCAGGGCUUAACCCUGGAAUUGCUUUCAAAACUGCAAGGCUAGAGAAUGGUAGGGGAAAGUGGAAUUCCUAGUGUAGAGGUGAAAUUCGUAGAUAUUAGGAGGAACACCAGAGGCGAAGGCGGCUUUCUGGGCCAUUUCUGACGCUAAGGCGCGAAAGCGUGGGGAGCAAACAGGAUUAGAUACCCCGGUAGU